rnacentral:rRNA from 1 species
GGUUGCCCUAGUAACGGCGAGUGAAGCGGCAACAGCUCAAUUUGAAAUCUGGCGCAAGCCCGAGUUGUAAUUUGUAGAGGAUGCUUCUGGGCAGCGGCCGUUCUAAGUUCCUUGGAACAGGACGUCAUAGAGGGUGAGAAUCCCGUAUGUGACCGGCACGUACCCUCCACGUAGCUCCUUCGACGAGUCGAGUUGUUUGGGAAUGCAGCUCUAAAUGGGAGGUAAAUUUCUUCUAAAGCUAAAUACCGGCCAGAGACCGAUAGCGCACAAGUAGAGUGAUCGAAAGAUGAAAAGCACUUUGGAAAGAGAGUUAAAAAGCACGUGAAAUUGUUGAAAGGGAAGCGCUUACAACCAGACUUCGUGGCGGUGUUCCGCCGGUCUUCUGACCGGUCUACUCGCCGCCGCGAGGCCAGCAUCGUCUGGGGCCGCCGGAUAAGACCUUGGGAAUGUAGCUUGCCUCGGUAAGUGUUAUAGCCCAUGGUGAUGCGGCGUGCCUCGGGCGAGGUCCGCGCUUCGGCAAGGAUGCUGGCGUAAUGGUUGUCAGCGGCCCGUCUUGAAACACGGACCAAGGAGUCUAACAUCUAUGCGAGUGUUCGGGUGUCAAACCCCUACGCGUAAUGAAAGUGAACGGAGGUGGGAAGCGCAAGCUGCACCAUCGACCGAUCCUGAUGUCCUCGGAUGGAUUUGAGUAAGAGCAUAGCUGUUGGGACCCGAAAGAUGGUGAACUAUGCCUGAAUAGGGUGAAGCCAGAGGAAACUCUGUGGAGGCUCGCAGCGGUUCUGACGUGCAAAUCGAUCGUCAAAUUUGGGUAUAGGGGCGAAAGAC